rnacentral:rRNA from 1 species
GGCGGCGUGCUUAACACAUGCAAGUCGAACGGUGAAGCCCUUCGGGGUGGAUCAGUGGCGAACGGGUGAGUAACACGUGAGUAAUCUGCCCCUGACUCUGGGAUAACCUCGGGAAACCGUGGCUAAUACCGGAUAUGACAUACGGCUGCAUGGUCUGUGUGUGGAAAGAAUUUUGGUCAGGGAUGAGCUCGCGGCCUAUCAGCUUGUUGGUGGGGUAAUGGCCUACCAAGGCGACGACGGGUAGCCGGCCUGAGAGGGCGACCGGCCACACUGGGACUGAGACACGGCCCAGACUCCUACGGGAGGCAGCAGUGGGGAAUAUUGCGCAAUGGGCGAAAGCCUGACGCAGCGACGCCGCGUGAGGGAUGAAGCCUUCGGGUCGUAAACCUCUUUCAGCAGGGAAGAAGCGAAAGUGACGGUACCUGCAGAAGAAGCACCGGCUAACUACGUGCCAGCAGCCGCGGUAAUACGUAGGGUGCAAGCGUUGUCCGGAAUUAUUGGGCGUUAA